UGGUAGAAUGGAACAGUAGUGUGAAGAAGGUGGAUAAAGAUGGUAGAAUGGAACAGUAGUGUGAAGGUGGAUAAAGAUGGUAGAAUGGAACAGUAGUGUGAAGAAGGUGGAUAAAGAUGGUAGAAUGGAACAGUAGUGUGAAGAAGGUGGAUAAAGAUGGUAGAAUGGAACAGUAGUGUGAAGAAGGUGGAUAAAGAUGGUAGAAUGGAACAGUAGUGUGAAGGUGGAUAAAGAUGGUAGAAUGGAACAGUAGUGUGAAGAAGGUGGAUAAAGAUGGUAGAAUGGAACAGUAGUGUGAAGGUGGAUAAAGAUGGUAGAAUGGAACAGUAGUGUGAAGGUGGAUAAAGAUGGUAGAAUGGAACAGUAGUGUGAAGAAGGUGGAUAAAGAUGGUAGAAUGGAACAGUAGUGUGAAGAAGGUGGAUAAAGAUGGUAGAAUGGAACAGUAGUGUGAAGGUGGAUAAAGAUGGUAGAAUGGAACAGUAGUGUGAAGAAGGUGGAUAAAGAUGGUAGAAUGGAACAGUAGUGUGAAGAAGGUGGAUAAAGAUGGUAGAAUGGAACAGUAGUGUGAAGAAGGUGGA
ensembl:lncRNA